AGUGAACGCUGGCGGUAGGCCUAACACAUGCAAGUCGAACGGCAGCACAGUAAGAGCUUGCUCUUACGGGUGGCGAGUGGCGGACGGGUGAGGAAUACAUCGGAAUCUACUUUUUCGUGGGGGAUAACGUAGGGAAACUUACGCUAAUACCGCAUACGACCUACGGGUGAAAGCAGGGGAUCUUCGGACCUUGCGCGAUUGAAUGAGCCGAUGUCGGAUUAGCUAGUUGGCGGGGUAAAGGCCCACCAAGGCGACGAUCCGUAGCUGGUCUGGGAGGAUGAUCCCCCAGCCUGGCAGUGAGACACGGUCCACACUCCUGCGGGAGGACGCAGUCGGGAAUAUUGCACGAUGGACGAGAGCCGGAUCCUGCCCUACCGCGUAGGUGAAGAAGGACCUAGGCUGCUAGAGCCCUUUUGGUGUGAAAGAAAAGAAGCAGGUUUAUCCCCCGCUAUUAUGACGGUACCCAAAGAAUAAGCACCGGCUAACUUCGUG
rnacentral:rRNA from 1 species